GGAGGAGGUGAACCUGGAACUUGGGAGGACAUCCCUGCUUUCCUGAGUUAGGCCAGGAGCUGGUGUGAGAACUGCAUUUAGGAUGGGAGCUGUGAUGAUACGUGAUAUAUCGUCUCCGGCUAGCCCCAGCCCAGAAGAUGCCUUGCUCCAAGGAAGAAACAAGACAUUUUCAAGUCAUCCUCCCCUGCCAACAAUGAUGAAUUUGGCCCAAGGUGUGGACAUCCAACCGAGCGGGAAGCUGGCAAAUGCAACCCAAACAAAGAAAACGCAUCCUCUGGCAAGGUGUGGUGAGCCUGUGGCACUGACUCUUUCACAGAAGCAGUGAGGACAAGAGCUUAGCAGGAUUUAAGAUCAUGGUACAAAUCAACUUAACCACACAGAGGCAUUUCCAGAGAUGUAAAGCAACAAACCCAUUAUGCCUGGUAGCUUUAUUCAGCUCAAAUACCCGCUGUUCAAGUCUUGGUGUGAAGACCAUCAGCUGGGGACUGGGGUUCAUCCGCCAGCCCCGCUUCAGCCAGAGCAAUGGGCUUGCGGGGAUGGCUGGGGCUCUAUGAGGACUGCAGGGAGACACACAAAGCAGCAGCGGGGAGCAGCGCUCAGAGAUGAAAAGCAGGUGCUUCACUGCAGGAAUGAAACGGAGCAGCUCUCAGCCACAGGAAGAGAUUGCUCUCCCUGUUCCAGUUGAGCCUGUGAUGGGGACAAGCAUCAAUUCAGAGGUAGAUUUUUUUUUUUUUGUUGCUGACUUCUGCAAGUGCUUUGUGAAGAGGAUGCUGAAAUGCAGCAGCAGAGCCUUCCUGCCACUCAGUUUUGUGCAAAGAGCUGACUGUCCUCUUUGUAAGGUGGUUUGAUUCUUUUUUUCCCCCCCUUAGACUGUGGAAUUGCUGUACAGCCCAGAGCUCUCCUCUGGAUUGGUAUUACAUCAAUCUUGGACUAUUUGUAGGAUCCUUUCUCUUUCUGUCACUGCCUUGUAACUACUCUGCACAGCACUGUCUUGCUUCCCACUGUAUUAUGUCUGUGGGUGGAUGGAGAAGGGGUACUGUAGCUUCACUGGAAGCAUUAGUGCAUCCAGCAAACUGGACCUGCUACUCACCAGCCCACACACAAGAAGGAAAAUGCUAUUGUGUUGAAUUGGAGUAUUUUGCUUUUGUUUUUGGAGUGGAGUUUUUCUGUGUGUGUUUAUUUUUAAGUAGGAAGUUUUUCUGGGCAAUGAAAGCUGUGUUUUGUUGAAUUAUGCUCAAGUCACAAUGAAAAGUUAAUCAUGUUUAGCAGCUCAUGCAUUGUCUGACUUUGAAAAACUUCCUUACAUCCAUCCCAGGCUUUCCAGAGGGGCCAGGCAGAGAGAGGAGGCACCACAUGUGAGCCCUGGGACUUCUGACUGGGGCUGCUCCUGGCACAGGAGGGACCCAGUGGGGUCCAGGACGCUUGCCUCCCAACACAGGAGCAUGAACAAGUCCCUCAAACCUCCA